CUCUCUCUCUCUCUCUCUCUCUCUCUCUCUCUCUCUCUCUCUCUCUCUCUCUCUCUUUCCAUCUACCUGUCAAUCUCAAAACAAACACACAUAAUCUUUUAAAUACUUGCACCUCCCGUGUUUAUCACAAGUCCAUCAACACAAUAGUUCCUCGACCCCUGCCGCCCUCUCGCUCCACGCUGUCCUUCCUUCCUCGACUUGCCCUUUGUCAGUUGCUUGGGAGAGGUGACGCUGGGGACAUCUCAACCAGGUACACAAAGAAAAAUCAAAGGACAUCAGCCAGGAUAUACUUCUCCAGCAAAUCAGAAACAAGGAGGGAAACUGAGAGAAAUAUAUCAGUGUGCCAUGCGUGGUUUCUGCUAGUGAUGGUGCGACGAGCUGGUCUGUUCCUGUCCCUGCUCAACUUCAUUAUAUUCGCGGCGGGGGCGGCGGCGUGCGUGGCGGCGGGGUUCCUGCUGGGCCGCUACAGGGAGUACGGCGCGCUGGUGGGCGGCGGGGUGUUCACGCUGCCCCUCUGCCUCCUGCUGGCGGGCGUGGGGCUGCUGCUCCUGGCCCUCCUCGCCUGGGUAGGGGUCCUUCAGGCGAGUUCCUGUCUCCUGUACACGUACGCGUGCCUGCUACUGGUGGUGGCGGCGGCGGAGGUGGCGGCCCUGACGCUGGUCCUGGUGUACAGAGGCAGGGGAGAGAGGGCGGUGCAGGAGUCCAUGAAAGAAGUCUUUGGGAGGUACGGCGAAGAGAAUGACCCCGCCGUGACCUUCGCUCUAGACCGUGCCCAGCAAAAGCUUCAGUGCUGCGGGGUGGACACUUUCCACGAGUGGGACAACAGCACUUUCGGCAUGGUCAGCGGGGACGUGCCUGACGGGUGUUGCAGGACCAAGGUUCAAGGUUGUGGUCAAGGGGUUCUUCUGGGCCCUAAUGCCACCACCCCCGUCGAUGCCACAGCAGCAGAAGCCACCUUAGUCCACCCUCGGGGCUGUUUCUCUACCGUGCGGGGGCAACUAGCGGGAGGAGCUCCUGUCUUCAUAGCCAGCUUUGUCAUCUUUGUUCUCAUUCAGGUAAUCGAGAAUAAGAACAGGUCUGAGAUCUCAAAGGAUUCGCAAUAAAGCCAUAUUAAAAAAAAAUGAUUGGCGAACAGGAAGAAUUAAUAAGAACUCCUGCCAUUGUCUUAUCACUUAUUAUUGUAUUUUCUUUUCAGCAGAUUUAUUCAAAAUAUCAAUAGGAGAUCAUGCGAUGAAAGCCUUGAUGAAAAGCUCGCAAGACGAACAAACAACAACAAAAAAUAGUACAAUAAGAGCAACUGACUAGUUUGUAAUCUUUUAACUAUUUUAGGGAAAACACCAACCGAUCGAGACAUCGGCAGACUAAAUUAAGAAAACAUUAGUAGUAAAACUAGUUCAUGACACCAACUCGAGGUAUAUUCGGCGGAAAAAAGAAGAAAAAGUAAAUAAAAAUGCUGCAACUGCGACCUCAGGACCAUAAAUUGAUCUUCGCAUAAUGAAUGACCUGCAAAUACAGAAUGUCAUCAAAAGGACAACACCAUUUGUCAGAAUGAGAAUCAAUUAUUUUUUCCUAUUAUUACUCAUUCAGUUCAGUGCCCCAUGCAAUCAGCUGUCAUCAGUUUCAUUAAUAAACUCUAACUGUAUAAUGAAAGACAACUUAAUAGUCUGACGAGUCUUCGUUCAGUGGGUGUGCCGUGCACGGGAUGAGUCUGUGUGGUAAUGGUAAACUUGGAGGCAUACGCUAAGGUGGGCGUGACCUCAGUGAUCAAAGGCAAGAACUGGUUCACCAAUAGAGUGGUGGACGAAUGGAACAGGCUUGGGAGCCAUGUUGUGGGUGGCAAUACCAUAGAUACAUUCAAGAAGAGGUUAGAUAAAGCCAUGGAUGGUGAGGUAAGGUGGGGUUGAGUGUACAGGAGCUGCCUUGUAUAGGCCAAGCGGCCUCUUGCAGACUCCUUACGUUCUUAUGUUCUUAUGUUCUUAUAUCAGCCCCAUUAGCGCGCAGGAGUAAAUUUUGAAUCGACACUUCUUUACCAAUAGAUCACUACAAACCUGACGGAGGGAGGUACAUAACACUUCGUAGUUACCAGCGGCCUGGAAAGGGGUCGCGAGGGUCAUGCUUAUAAUAACUAGUUCGCAGUAAGAACAUUUGAAGAAAUAUAGAUCCACAUGGCUUGGUGGUGUUGUGCUUGACUGUGCUUGAUGGUUUGAUGUGGUGCGGUUUAGGGUGGUAUGAGAUGGAGUGGCCCGGUGUGACGUCGAAUUCCGUCACGACAUCACCUUUCCUAUCCCUUUCUUCCCUCUUUCUUCUUCUUCUCCUCCUCCUCUUGCACCUCAUCGAUGCAAUUUGACACUUAUCAUUUUGCACAUAACGACAUAAAUAAUCUGCCAGAGGCCGGUAGGCCUAUACAAGGCAGCUUCUGUAAACCCAACCACACUUAACCACUAUUUAUGAAUUUAUCUAACCUUUCCUUGGAUGUAUCUAUCGUAUUGACACAACAUGUAUGUCAAGCCUGUUCCGCUCACCCACCAGUUCUUUGGUACACCAAUUCUUGCAUAUGUCUUUGAUGAAUCUGAAUUUAUCUAAUUUAAAUUCAUUACUAUGUGUCCUACCCGAACUACUAGAACCUACUACAACUAGAGUCCUACUAGACCCAUAUUAUUAUUACCCUGAUUAAAGCCCUUCACUCAUUUCGAUCACGUCUCCUGUAACUUUUUGCCUUUUCAGAGAAUGCAAAUUUAAAUGUUUAAGUCAUUCCGUAAAUGACAAGUUUCUCAACCGGUAAUUUUUUUUUCACCCUCCUCUGCACAGAUACUAACAUCUUGAUAUGCAUUUUAUAGCGAGGGGAACAGAACUGAACCACAGAAUCGAGAUGAGGUCUACCUAAUGUUAAAAUUAAUAUAGCUCUAACUUGUCAUCGGCGUAGUACUAUAUAUACAGUGGUGCAUAUAGGGAUUAUAGUGUGCACAUGAUAGUGGUAACUAGUGAGUGGUGGUGGUCGUGGCGGUCGUGGUGGUGGUGGUUAUAGUGGUAGUUGGUAGUGGUGGUGGUGGUGGUGGUUCUGGUGGUGAAGUUGAUAAUAGUGGUGGUGGUGGUGGUGGCGGUAGUAGUGGAGGUGACUGAGUGGUCUCACCUUAAGAGCAACAUUUGGGAGAUGCGGGUUGGUGUUGCGUCACCAAGAAUACGUUCAACAAUACUUGGAAAGUGGACCAAACCACCCAGACAGCGUGUGUAUACUUCGCAUUUUCAGCAGCUAAGAAAAUAAGCAUGUCGGUGGCGCCCUCUACGUGACUCAUGAUCUCUGGGAAGGAUCUACAAUCUAUUCGAAUGCAGUUCUUGGAAUGGCUCCCGUUUUCACUGCUCCUUAGUCAUCGCCGCCUUGGUCACCUCAGAGGCAUGACUGAACACCGCUGUCGCUCUACCUGCCGAACCUCAGUAAAUGAAUGCAGAGGUUAUGUGCGUACCCAAAGGAGGAAGAUAAGAAGAUAUGAAUGAUAACACAGGAGAAUGAUAUGAGGAUGCGAGCACGAGGUAGGAGAUCAAACAAGUCACACUCACCAUCGUCGUCUUCCUUCCGUAUCGUCGAUGUGGUCCAAGGACAUUCAUGCAAGUGCUUACCUGAAAAAGAGAGAAAAUUAUUAACUGGCUGAUUAGGCAACUCACUGAUCAUUUAAUGGCGAGAAAAGACCUAAAACAAUCAUGAUCACUGUCGAAUAUGCAAGACGAAAGAAGACAAUAAAAAUUAGAUAAUAUACAUAGGUUUCAGAAAGCCACACAGCCUAUAUAUAUGACUAAGUAAUAAAGAUGUGACAUUUU